rnacentral:rRNA from 1 species
UACGUAGGGUGCAGGCGUUAAUCGGAAUUACUGGGCGUAAAGCGUGCGCAGGCGGUCUGCUAAGUGAGGGGUGAAAUCCCCGGGCUUAACCUGGGAACUGCGCUUCUAACUGACAGGCUUGGGUGUGGCAGAGGGGGGUGGAAUUCCACGUGUAGCAGUGAAAUGCGUAGAGAUGUGGAGGAACACCGAUGGCGAAGGCAGCCCCCUGGGCUAACACUGACGCUCAUGCACGAAAGCGUGGGGAGCAAACAGG